rnacentral:rRNA from 1 species
UACGAAGGGGGCUAGCGUUGCUCGGAAUCACUGGGCGUAAAGCGCACGUAGGCGGCUUUCUAAGUCAGAGGUGAAAUCCUGGAGCUCAACUCCAGAACUGCCUUUGAUACUGGAGAUCUUGAGUCCGGAAGAGGUAAGUGGAACUGCGAGUGUAGAGGUGAAAUUCGUAGAUAUUCGCAAGAACACCAGUGGCGAAGGCGGCUUACUGGUCCGGAACUGACGCUGAGGUGCGAAAAGCGUGGGGAGCAAACAGG